rnacentral:lncRNA from 1 species
UUACAUGUUAAUUUUUUUUAAGUAAUUAAUACUUGCAUGUUAGUUUUUGUAAGUAAUUAAGUAAUGUUAACAAUUACAUGUUAAUUUUUUUAAGUAAUUAAUACUUGCAUGUUAGUUUUUGUAAGUAAUUAAGUAAUGUUAAUACUUGCAUGUUAGUUUUUGUAAGUAAUUAAGUAAUGUUAACAAUUGCAUGUUAAUUUUUGUAAGUAAUUAAGUAAUGUUAAUACUUGCAUGUUAGUUUUUGUAAGUAAUUAAGUAAUGUUAACAAUUACAUGUUAAUUUUUUUAAGUAAUUAAUACUUGCAUGUUAGUUUUUGUAAGUAAUUAAGUAAUGUUAAUACUUGCAUGUUA